rnacentral:ribozyme from 13 species
GAAAGAAAAAGAAACAAAGAAGUGGGAAAAAAAGAAAAAAGAAAAAAAAAGACAAGAGAAAUUAUUAUUAUGCA